UUUUAAUCGAAGAACCAACUCAAUUGAUGUUUCAGGUACUGCGCUAGUACGUUUAAUAGUACUGGCUCAUGAGUCGACAAGUUUUAUGUGGUUUUAUAUGCAACUGAUAUACACUAUAAAAUAUUAAAAUCGCAUGACUGAAUAUUUGUGAAAUUUCUCGAUAUUUUUAUCGUUUUUUUUUGCAUUUACAUUUUGUGAUUUUUCUAUUAUUUCUAUACACAGUGUUCUACUGUUCAAGGGUGUAUACAUUUAUCAAUGAUAAAAUCAAUUUUAAUCAAUAAAUAUGGCAGAUUGCUUUUUCCACACAGUUAGGGGUAACUGAGUACUUUGGAAGCCCAAAGGCAGGUAGUGGCUCAGAGGUAGUGACUCAAGCAAGUGUGGAAAGUCUGCCAUGCAAACUAACACAAACAUUGAGUCAGGAACUUCAUGUCAUAAAGUUCUUUGUUGGUUUGCAUGUUGAUAAAUAAUAAUAUAAUGGUUUUAAUAUGGAAACACUUUGCAGAGCUUUUGACUGUAAAUAUAUUAUAUUUGCACUGAUGAGCAUCCGAGCUUGUGGAUUGCAAAAUAAAUCAUUUGUGGUGUUUCCACAAACAAAACAAUUAUGUCAACUUAUUCAUGUCAACAAAAUAUUUUGUACAUGAAAUCCCCUACAUCAUAUUAGGGAGGGGGGAUCAAAUGUCACACCACAAUGAAUUUUACUUAUGCCAAAUAUCAUAACCACCUCUUGAUAACAUGUUUAAUGGCAAAUCGUUAAAUCCAUGUCAACAGGGGAAGGGGUGAUCACCCCCAAAUUGAUUGGUGCAUUUUAAAAGUUCACUGUAAUUACUGUAUUUUAAAACCAAAAUGGCAGAUUAAAACUACAUAAGUGAAGUAUCAUAUUUUAUAAUGGCAAAUUGUAUUUUUUCCCCACAGGGGGCUGAGAAGUUGAGAACAAUGAUUUUAUAAGAAAAGAACCCCCGUCCCUGGAAUUUCCAACCCUGGAAUUUCCAAAUAACACAAAAUCCCCUUCCCUUGAAAUGCUAAAAUUACUGGGUUUGAACUUAAUUUAACCCCAAAUCCCCCUCCUGGAAUUUCCAAAGUUCUGAAACCCCUUGUGUGGAAAAAACAAUCUGCCAUAUUUAUUGAUUAAAAUUUAUUUGAUCAUUGAUAAAUGCAUACACCUUGCACAGUAGAACACUUUGUAUAGAACAAUAGAAAAAACACAAAAUGUAAUUGCAAGAAACGAUAAAAAUGUCAUGUCAUGCGAUUGUAAUAUUUUAUAGUGUAUAUCAGUUG